GUCAGCUUGUUGGUGACAAUGGGCUACCAAGGCGACACGAAGCCGACCUGGAGGGUGACCGGCCCACUGGGACUGAGACACGCCCAGACUCCUACGGAGGCAGCAGUGGGGAAUAUUGCACAAUGGGCGAAAGCCUGAUGCAGCGACGCCGCGUGAGGAUGACGGCCUUCGGUUGUAAACCUCUUUCAGCAGGACGAACGCAAGUGACGGUACCUGCAGAAGAAGCACCGGCUAACUACGUGCCAGCAGCCGCGGUAAUACGUAGGGUGCAAGCGUUGUCCGAAUUACUGGGCGUAAAGAGUUCGUAGGCGGUUUGUCGCGUCGUUUGUGAAAACCAGCAGCUCAACUGCUGGCUUUGCAGGCGAUACGGCAGACUUGAGUACUGCAGGGAGACUGGAAUUCCUGGUGUAGCGUGAAAUGCGCAGAUAUCAGGAGGAACACCGGUGGCGAAGGCGGGUCUCUGGGCAGUAACUGACGCUGAGGAACGAAAGCGUGGGUAGCGAACAGGAUUAGAUACCCUGGUAUUCCACGCCGUAACACGGUGGGCGCUAGGUGUGGGUUCCUUCCACGAAUCCGUGCCGUAGCUAACGCAUUAAAGCGCCCCCGCCUGGGGAGUACGGCCGCAAGGCUAAAACUCAAAGGAAUUGACGGGGGUGACGCACAAGCCUGGCUGGAACAUGUGGAUUAAUUCGAUGCAACGGAAGAACCUUACCUG
rnacentral:rRNA from 1 species